AUUGAACGCUGGCGGCAGGCCUAACACAUGCAAGUCGAGCGGAGGAAGGUAGCUUGCUCCUGGAACCAGCGGCGGACGGGUGAGUAAUGCCUAGGAAUCUGCCUGAUUGUGGGGGAUAACGUCCGGAAACGGGCGCUAAUACCGCAUACGUCCUGAGGGAGAAAGUGGGGGUUCUUCGGACCUCACGCUGUCAGAUGAGCCUAGGUCGGAUUAGCUAGUUGGUGGGGUAACGGCCUACCAAGGCGACGAUCGGUAACUGGUCUGAGAGGAUGGUCAGGCACACCAGAACUGAGACGAGGUCCAGACUACUACGCGAGGCAGCGGAGGGGAAUAGUAGACUAUAGGCGGGAGGCUGGUCCAGCCAAGCCGCGUGUGUGGAAAAAGUCUGCGGAUAGUAAAGCUCUUUAAGUUGGGAGAAAGAGCAGUAAGUGAAUACCGUGCUGUUUUGACGGUACCAACAGAAUAAGCACCGGCUAACUUCGUG
rnacentral:rRNA from 1 species